UUUGUUCUUUUGCGCACUUCCUCUCAUCUGUUUGAUAAGGUAGCGAGAGAGAGAGAGAGAGAGAGGAUAUUAUCAUCGAAUGACUUAACCGCUUCCUGCCUCGCUUGUUUAAGAUAAUACAGAUGUUCUUAAGUUGUAGUCAUUCGGUUAAAUGGCAUUUUAUUUAAAUAAUUAUGAAUAGAACUAAUUUAAAAUUCUCGGCAGUUGUAACUUAAACAAAUCAUGAUUUAAAUCAAAUUUUCAUCAUCAUUUGCAUAAUUUACUUCCGAGCGACGCGAUUUUCGCUUUGCGCGAAUCGCGUCGCAUAUUCUGCUCAUUUACUUUUUUCCCCUCUCCUCCCCCUUUCCUCACUUCUCGAACCUCGCACUAUUUUUAUACUCUGCGAAGAUCUGGACAUCCAUCUAAUGAUGAAGGGCUUCCUAAAUUGCAAGAGGAAACUGUUUAUUUUUUGAAUUUACGACGCGUAUCCGAAUUACACCGAAAGCAUCACUGGAAGAGAGGGAAAGAAAAAUUUCUCAAAAAAAAUUUUUUUUUAUUAUAUACAGAAUUCGAUCUAAAUUUAUCAUUCUAAAUAAGAAAAUUAUACACUUAUUUAAGUUAUAAAAGGCAAAUUGCCCUAGUUUUCACAUUGAUGUGUUCCUAGUACAUAACUGUAUACAGACGUUGAUGCAAUGACAGGUAACAGCUGGAGUUGAAUCGUUUAUCGUCUCUAGAAAUUCGUUUAUGAGGGCUAUAAAGUAAUAUUUCCGUCUAUUAUUCUGCUGAAUAUGUUAUUUAUAAAUCAGUCAUUUUUAUCCAUUAACAUAUUUGUUUUAAUAUUAAGUGAUGCAGGAGAAAAUUCCGUUGUCGCCUUCGCUCGUGUUGUUGUAAGAAAAGUGGUGUUAUGGAUCAUGUUACGCUGGAUAACAUAGUUUGGGACAUUUCCCGACAUUCAACGCACCACAUAGUCAUUUGGAAGCUAGCCAAGCGACGAUACAUCUAACACCCCUAAGCACAACUGCAAUAGCCAAUAAUAACUUACUAGCACUACAAUAAUUCAUUUAUACUUCUACAGUAACAAAUUCAGUUUUAAGAUUUAUGUCCUAUUUCAUUUUUGGAGUGCAAAAAUGUUCUAAAGAUUAAGUGGUUUCUAUCGAUCAUGUUAUUUUUUUCCUCCUAAUUUUUUAGGUGUGUAAAGGUUGUCUUUAAUUUUCCUACGAUGAAAAGAGAUCUAAACAUUCGCGACUUUUUUUUUACCAUUUUUCAUAAUUAAUUUGUGCAAUUUUUGACUCUAAUGUAUAACUGGAGUGUCUUUAUCCAGUUUGAUCCUUGCUGAAAUAAAGAAUUUCGAAGGAAGACUUAUUCAGCAUGUGGUAACCCAAUAUGCCAAAGAGGAUAUACCUCUUAUGCCUUUAAUGAAGGAAGAUAUUCUCAUAAUAGUAAUUUUGCGUCGGCCAUUAGCAGGCGUGUUUAUAAGUCUGCACAACUCCCGAGCGGUUUACUGGUGACAAGAGUGACAAACGAUGCAGACCUGUCCACAAUCUACAACCCAUCCCGUAUUUGUUCUGCCUGGCUUGCUUUUCUCAUUAUCUAAACAUUUCUCCUAUUUUGUUAAUGAUAACUUGGUGCAAAGCCCUCUAAAACGGUAAGAGUAGCGUCGAAACGGAACUUCUCCACUUUCGUAACUCCGAUCGAUGAAACUUAUAUUGAUUCGACCGAACUUAAAUGCGUUCUAUAUACUUCCAUACAUUUGCAAGAUGUUUAUAGAGCGGGUUUAAGAGGUUAUUCUGCUGUACUACUUCUGUUAUGCUGUCUAGGGAACAAUCUCGCCCUUGCGCAUCUCUUCAAAAGUUGCCGCGUAAACUCAUAAAAAAAUUCCAGAAGAGAAGAAGAAAAACAUUUCUUCUUACCUUCCACUCCUGUGAUGCAAUGCUGCAGAGACGUUUUAGACUUAAAAAGUUAACCGCAAGCUAAACGAUUAAAUCAUAUUUUUAAUUUUAUUUGUGCAUACGUUGAGGGAAUAACUUGUUUUUCACGUAUGGGAUCUCUUACCGCCGUAGCUGCAUGAAAUUAAGUUUAUUUUUAAUGCGAAAACAUGACAUACUUUCUUUAUGCAUUAAAAAAUAAUGCAAGGCGGCGUAAGAAAGACAAAAAAAUAUUUCUGAACGAAUUAACCUACUCCGCAAAGAACGUAAACCAAGCAGAUACACAUUAUUUUGCUGCCGAUAGUAAUAAAACUUCUGCGACUUUGCCACCCAAUUUGUUUCUCGCUGGGAGGCAAUUCGUGAAGUUUUUAACCUCAGAUGAGAAAAUUUAUAAUAAACGAUGUUGACUGAUGGUGGAAACCAACCGCCAAGCAAGGUACACAAUACCGUGGCAAAAAUCUAUCCCGCCCAGAAUUAAGUAGCUCCAGAUCGUGUUCUGUUAUAGACUUUAUACAAAUAAUUUGAAUAAAAUAUUAUAAUUAUAAAAGAAAAAAUUAUCAUUUCAAAUUUCUGACCAUGAACACCAUCGAUUUUCUUAGAAUUAGAUUCGAAAUUAAUAAAAGUUUCGAGUUAUGGGCAAUAAAAUAUCUGGCGUAAUAUUAUAUCUUUAAAAUGCUUUCGGAAGUGGAUAAAAACAAAGUUUAAGCAGAAGUACUGAAAUCAUUUUAUAUAUAUAAGUUUUAUGCGUUAAUUAGGGAAAAAAAUUGUUCCUGUUACGUUCGUAACGCAAUUGUAGGUUUGCUGGUGUAAAUGUACACCAACUUAAGUGCAACAAGUCUUCCAAGCAAUCAGAAGGCAUUUAAGGAACAAAUCUCGUUUCCGCACUUCCCCGCACUUAAUGGAUCAAGUUUCUUCACCUGAUUGAUUCUGAUACAGCCGACACAGCCGAAUCGAAUGGCUUUUAAUACUACUUUAUUUGCAAACUACACCACCAACACCAAAUUUGAUUUUUUUUUAAAUUAAAGCACUAGAUUGGAAUCUGUUAGUGGGAGAAAUAAUUGUUAUCUAGAGAAGCAUUCAGAUGUGCCCAACCUCUUCCUCUUCUUUUUGUUUUCUUCUUUCACAUGUCAGUAUUUUCGUUAAACUUUUUUAAAUGGAAUUUUUUUGCUGAACUUUUAUAUUCUGGUUAGGAGAUGAUCUGCAGUUUAUGUUCCCUUGUUCUUUCGUAGAGACUCUUAAGUCUAUUAUCCUUAACCAAUUGGCUUCGUAUUAGCCUUCUCUUUUAUCCAUAAUCCCUCUUCUGAUACCUUAAUAUUAUUAUUGAAUAAAACCCUUCAAGAACAUCUCCUAGUGUCUCUAGCGUCGUGCAGUAUAUGCACUCAUAUUCAUGUGGACACGCAACUCGACAACAAAUGGAAAGAAAGACAUCAACAUUAAAGUAGAAAUUUCGAAUUACAAAAUGCAAACGUAUUACUGAGAAUCGAAACUGUAUUUUCGAUACUUUUCUAGUUACUCGAUUUAAAGUAAUUCUUGUUAAAAUAUUUUAUUUCUUAGACAAACGACGGUAAGGAUUUAAGCCAAUGAGACUUUUUUCAGCAAAAUUUCCUUUAAUGGACAAUACUUUUCCAUCUUUUUCUUUAAACGGACAUCUAAGUGACCGGAAAUAAUUGGUUAAUAUGCUCCAUAAACUCGAUUCAAGGACAGAUUACUAAGCAGUGGUUCCGCUGCUGCAUAUAACUUUUAUAUUCGAUUCUAUGGAUUUUUACAUGAAUUCAGAAUAAAAGUUGCGAUCUGUAACAAAUAUAUUUAAAGUUUUAUUCUCUUCUCAAAAGUGGUUUGGCUGUUGUGACUGAAAUGUCCUUUUUAUAUUUUUAUAUGUAUAUAUACAUACAUACUCUGAUCACGUGGUGUCUAGUUUUGGUCUCCAUGGCAACUAUGACCUUGAGGGAGAUCAAGGUAUAUGACCACAUCCUGUUUGCAGGUGUGCAAAUAUAUAUAUAUGUUCUUACUUCGCUUUUGUCAAUUGUUGAUAGUACUACCAUGUUUGCAAGUGAAGCGAAUUUUUUUUUUAAAGCGUCUUAAAUGUUGAGAAAGUUCGGGCAUUCUUUUAGACGUAAAUUUAUAAUAAAAUAUAAUUUUUUCUUGAGGGUGUGCUUAUGUUUUUCAAGUGUAAAUAGUUUUAAAAAUUAUUUUGUGUGCGUUUGUUUAUAAAUAUCAAACGUACUUUUGCGUCAAAUUAAAAUUUCAAUAAGCGUCUUGCAGUAUUAUGCAAUUUUGUAAUGUUGUAAGGGAUAAAAGCGAUUUAGUGACGUCACCGUAACGUUAAAAUCAAUUUAGAGACAUUUAAAGUUAGGAUAAAGGAGAAGGGAGGAAGGGAAAAAAAAACAGCAACGUGGAAAAUUUAUUAAAUUAUUAUUAUUAUUUUUUCCUUCUCUCGGAAUAAGGUUAGUCGCUCGUCCAUUUCCCGUCACGUCAGAAAAUGUCAAAAACUUUGCGAAAUUUUCCAUUUUUACCGAGAGUACUCAUCAAUCAUUUUCUGUCGAUGAUGUAGCAUUAAAGACUAAUAAUGAACCAUUAGAUUAAUACUGAUUUCUAUUCUGGUCACAAUUACACGAUAAAUAACGUAGAGAUUCUUCCGAAAAUGUUAUCGCUUAAUUAAUUAAAAAUUAAUCUAUAGUUUUAAUCAUCAAAAGUUUGAAAACUAGUUGUGUGCGCUAUCGUUUGUUGCCCAAAAGUGAUUUUUAGAUACUUUGAACUCGUUAUCAACAUUUCUAAACCGAUUUUUUUUUUCUUUUUACAACGAAAACCAUAUUCAAGUUGUGGUAUUUUUAUGUUUUCGAUGGAUCUUUCUUCC
rnacentral:lncRNA from 1 species